CAGCAGCCGCGGUGAUACGUAGGGUCCGAGCGUUGUCCGGAAUUAUUGGGCGUAAAGGGCUUGUAGGCGGUUUGUCACGUCGGAAGUGAAAACUCAGGGCUUAACCCUGAGCCUGCUUCCGAUACGGGCAAACUAGAGGAAUGCAGGGGAGAAUGGAAUUCCUGGUGGAGCGGUGGAAUGCGCAGAUAUCAGGAGGAACACCGGUGGCGAAGGCGGUUCUCUGGGCAUUUCCUGACGCUGAGAAGCGAAAGCGUGGGGAGCAAACAGGCUUAGAUACCCUGGUAGUCCACGCCGUAAACGGUGGGCACUAGGUGUGGGGAACAUUCCACGUUCUCCGUGCCGAAGCUAACGCNUUNNGUGCCCCGCCUGGGGAGUACGGCCGCAAGGCUAAAACUCAAAGGAAUUGACGG
rnacentral:rRNA from 1 species